GUCGUACGAGAGUUUUUAACUCUAGUGGCGGACGGGUGAGUAACACGUGAGAAUUUACCUUUAGGAGGGGGAUAACAGCGUAUCAAUAGAUAUUACGGAAACGGCUGCUAAUACCCCAUAUGCUUUUGAGUGAAAUAGAUUUAUCUGCCUAAAGAGAAGCUCGCGGCUGAUUAGCUUGUUGGUAAGGUAAUGGCUUACCAAGGCGACGAUCAGUAUCUGGUUUGAGAGGACGAUCAGACACACUGGAACUGAGACACGGUCCAGACUCCUACGGGAGGCAGCAGUGGGGAAUUUUCCGCAAUGGGCGAAAGCCUGACGGAGCAAUACCGCGUGAGGGAAGACGGCCUAUGGGUUGUAAACCUCUUUUUUCAGGGAGGAAUUCAAUGACGUGUACCUGAGGAAUAAGCAUCGGCUAACUCCGUGCCAGCAGCCGCGGUAAUACG
rnacentral:rRNA from 1 species